rnacentral:lncRNA from 1 species
AUAUCAUGGGCCAAAUUUGAAAACAGUUAUAAAAAUGUAUCAGUGCUUAAUCCACCAUGUUAGACAUUGUCUUAGUCUUUGGAGAACAAGACAAAUUACAUACUUUGGAGAGUUAGAAGAAUGGAUGGACAGGAAAAAAAUUCUAUGAAACCAUGUUUGCCAAGAGAGAAGACUGGCAAGGAUUAGAAGUGAGCUGCUGAAGUACUUCAACGACUGGGGUCAUUUCCCCACGCAGAAGCAGAUCGAUGAGUUCUGGGACCUGUUCCACAGUCGUGAGUACAGCCACCCUCAUCCUGGUCCCACCUUCCCUCUUCUCUCGUUCCCUCUCCUCCUCUUCCUC